UACGGAGGGGGCUAGCGUUGUUCGGAAUUACUGGGCGUAAAGCGCGCGUAGGCGGACCUGCAAGUCGGGGGUGAAAGCCCGGGGCUCAACCUCGGAAUUGCCUUCGAUACUGGCUGUCUUGAGUGCGGGAGAGGUGUGUGGAACUCCGAGUGUAGAGGUGAAAUUCGUAGAUAUUCGGAAGAACACCAGUGGCGAAGGCGACACACUGGCCCGUUACUGACGCUGAGGCGCGAAAGCGUGGGGAGCAAACAGG
rnacentral:rRNA from 1 species